AGAAAAUGCAAGACCUAUUCAGAAAGGAUGCUGUAUAUACAUACAUACACGGGCCACAUGCUGUCUUACACAGGGGAAGCCAGAAGGCCAAUCGUGGGGCUGCACCUACUUACCUCUGAAAAUGAAGAGGAAGAAGAUGAGGAUGUGAUGAUUGAGUAGUGUUGGAAGCUGCGGCAGUAUUCUUGGCAACAAGUAAACACAGCAUGAUUGGGACCCAUGGCAGGACAUGAGGAUAUUCGUGGCUGUUACACGUGAAUUUAUCAGAAGACCCUCAAUAAACAUAUCAGAAGAUCUUUUCCUUUUGGAUGUUACAAGAAUGUCAUUGUAUUGCUGGCAGGGAGAGAUGAAAAAAUCCAUCAGGAAUAAAUGUCCUCUCCUUUUCUGCUUAGGCUGAAACUACUGCUUCUAGGGACAAUCCAGCCUGUGGGAGCUCCCAGCUGAGGGGACUGCCUGCUGAUUUAUUGGCACUUGUUCUCAGCGACAGCAGCUCAGAGGCGAGAGGGGGUGGCACUCUGUGAUCACAGCUCCUUUUGGAAACCUCUGUGGACUCUAACAACAACAACUCCUCAUUGUUUCCCAUCUCCUUCAACGGUAUAUUGGUGUCUUGGUGAGUAGCCUUCAUAUUUCAGCACCACAGUGGAGGACAGCUCACAGCGCUUUCCUUGUUGAGUUCUUCAAGGGCGGGUCUAAUAAGGAAAAUGGGUUCACCAGGAAAGUGACCCUGGAAACUGAUCUACUCUGAGGUUUCCUUCUAGCUGUUUUGAAUUUCUGAGGCAGGAUAUAGUUCUUCAGACUUACUUUGCUCAGACUUAGCUCAUGUGCUCCUUUUGGGUUAUUAUAAAGUGCCUAUAUUUUCCUCUAGGCAAUGUCUGAACUAAAAUUCCUCUUCAUAUGCCUCCUCCACACAUCAUGAAAUCUGGGAGCAGCUUUGGAAAUCUCAUAUUUUUUCAAACUGGGUGCAUAGAACUUAGCUUCCUUACGGUCCCGGGUUGGGUAAAUAUAAGUGGUCACUUUUUGUUUCUUGGUGUGUGACUUUUAAGGUGUUUGCUCUCACUGAUUUGCAGAACAAGAAUAGAAACUGGCUUUCUUCUGGCACAGCUCUGGUUUGUCCUUCUGUCUCUUCUCUCCACCCAACCCCCAUCAGCUUAGAGAUUAGAAAGAGAUGGCAUUUUCUUAG
rnacentral:lncRNA from 1 species